rfam:Gavia stellata contig47168, whole genome shotgun sequence.
GGUAGUGUGGCCGAGCUGUCUAAAUUGCUGGAUUAAGGCUCCAGCCCCUUUGGAGGGUGAGGGUUCAAAUCCCACUGCUGCCA